GUCUAAGUUCACUCCACCUGAGCCACAUGAUUUAUCAGUAGCAUGGUGCAUGGCCUACCUGGCAACAGAAGUUUGCACCCUUCAGGAUUGCAUCCGAGCUGGAUAAGGAGAAUGGUGAAGUACAAGUUAAUUAUUUUUUACAUUCUAGAUGUAGGGGCCUGUCUACAAUACAUUUACAUUCUGUGAGGGGGAAGUAUUUUGACCUUGUGAC